GUUUUCUCUUCUCUUCAUCAAAGUGAGGUGUUAUCAUUUUGUCGACUCUUGUAUCGGCAUCUCACAUGAGUAAUUGGUUCUUCGAGCUAUUCUGGGUUGGUUCUUUCUACUUUCUUUGUACUCAUGUUGGCUAUUUGGUGUUGCGGGUCAUCAUUUCACUUGUGUUGAUGAACAUGUUCCUGUCGUACAGUUCUUUGCAAUUUCUUAUGCUUCUUCUGGA